AAUAUUGGACAAUGGGGGCAACCCCGAUCCAGCCAUGCCGCGUGUGUGAAGAAGGUCUUCGGAUUGUAAAGCACUCUUAGUUGGGAGGAAGGGCUUUAGGUUAUUACCCUGAAGUUUUGUCGUUACCAACAGAAUAAGCACUGGCUAACUCUUUGCCAGCAGCCGCGGGAACAAAGAGGGUGCAAGCGUUAAUCGGAAUUACUGGGCGUAAAGCGCGCGUAGGUGGUUCAGUAAGAUGGGUGUGAAAUCCCCGGGCUUAACCUGGGGACUGCUUUCAUAACUGCUGAGCUAGAGUACGGUAGAGGGUAGUGGAAUUUCCUGUGUAGCGGUGAAAUGCGUAGAUAUAGGAAGGAACACCAGUGGCGAAGGCGACUACCUGGACUGAUACUGACACUGAGGUGCGAAAGCGUGGGGAGCAAACA
rnacentral:rRNA from 1 species